AUUGAACGCUGGCGGCAGGCCUAACACAUGCAAGUCGAGCGGAUGAAUGGAGCUUGCUCCUGGAUUCAGCUGCGGACGGGUGAGUAAUGCCUAGGAAUCUGCCUGGUAGUUGGGGAUAACGUCCGUAAACGGGCGCUAAUACCGCAUACGUCCUGAGGGAGAAAGUGGGGGAUCUUCGGACCUCACGCUAUCAGAUGAGCCUAGGUCGGAUUAGCUAGUUGGUGGGGUAAAGGCCUACCAAGGCGACGAUCCGUAACUGGUCUGAGAGGAUGAUCAGUCACACUGGAACUGAGACACGGUCCAGACUCCUACGGGAGGCAGCAGUGGGGAAUAUUGGACAAUGGGCGAAAGCCUGAUCCAGCCAUGCCGCGUGUGUGAAGAAGGUCUUCGGAUUGUAAAGCACUUUAAGUUGGGAGGAAGGGCAGUAAGUUAAUACCUUGCUGUUUUGACGUUACCAACAGAAUAAGCACCGGCUAACUUCGUG
rnacentral:rRNA from 1 species